AUGUGGCCAGUGAAGGGCCACAUGCCUUGCAUUGAAUGGAUGGAAGAGGGAGUAUAUAUUCGAAAUUUCUUCACAAAAUCCCAUUUUUCACUUUCCUUUCUCUCUCUACUUGUUAUUUUCCUCUCUUUAUUCCCCGAUGUAUCUCUUCAUACGAAGCCACCACCACUGGCCAAAAAUCGCAUCCGUCGAUGGUUCAAUCCUAGCACCAUUGUAUAA